CUCUUUUUGUUGCUUUUUCGUCUGCUUAUCAUCCACUGCUAAUCUCUCAUGUCUCAGUUGCCUUGGGCAGGAAAAGCAAGAGAAGAAAGAGAUAUGCUUAAUACAAAAGAAAAAAGAUCAUGCACCAAUGUACUAUUACUGUGGUAAAGUGGUGCUGCUGUGUGAUGUGUUGUGACAAGACUGAUUAAAAGUGGCCAAGAAUAGACACAAGUGAGGGGGUGGAGAAGGAACGAGAAGAUUGUCUUAUAGAAACCACGAGAAGUUUAAUUCACAGAAAGUCAUCUCAGCGUGCAGUACGAUGGAAUAAUAACAACUGGAAACAGGCACAAUAAUAAAUCAUAAAUAAAUAACAUAUGUUACAGCAAAGAAACAUAUUAACAAAUAAUUGCAAAUAAUAGGAACUGUUUGGGGAAUUAUUCAAGCUAAAAUCAAAUGCUCAGAUGUGUCACCAUGAACCCACUCAGCUAGUCACAGCCUCUCUCAAGCGAGCGAAUUCAAAGAAUACUACCAAAUUUAGCCAGUUAGCUCCUGUUACCUGGAGCAACUGCAGCAAAAUAAAGAUUGCUGCUGCAGGUAAAAUACACAGAAAAUAGUGAAAAGAUUUUUAUUCUGAUUAUUUGUCUAUUUAAGUCAAGUCUAAAAUGUUCCUUUUUUUCUUGCUGCAUGAACUCUGAUAUGGCUUAUGAUGAGGCUGAAAAGUUAAACCGGUGUUGGAGUUCCUUUAACCUGCAGUCUUUUUUAUCGCCACUAGGGGACAACUCCACUGGUUACAACAACAUGUCCAGUUAAGAGACUACGAAGAAAAGGCAUCAUGUUCCCUUUUCUAUGUCUUCAAUAAAAAUUCUCUUGGAGAGAUUAUGGCUACAACCAGUUGUUUCAGGUCUUACUGAAAAAACAUGAUGCUCAUUUUGUAAAUUGUUGUUGCCAUCAGAGCCAAACUGACAAGUCACCCAACGGCAUCCUCACCUGUCACGUUUACUUCCAUAACCUCUGCGUGGCAGUGGAGGGAAACGAUCAACCUCACUAACGAAAGGAUGAUGUCAUAGUUGGUAUAGCCAUCUUUUUUAUACAGUCUAUGGAGAUUUAAAAAAACAGUUUUGGUCUAAUUUCACUGUUCCUAAAUGUGACGGGGUGAAAUUUAUACUUAAAGUUAUGCAUAAUGAAGGGAAGGCUGUUCAGUCUGGUUCAGCAAAAACAUUUUAUAUUUCUCUGUCGGUUUUAUGUUUCCCAUCAAAGACAAUUUAAGGUGCAUGUUUGGAAGUCACUAAUGUCACAGUGAUUAAUGUGAUUCGAACACACAUGAAAUUCUGUUAAUUAAAGAUAUCCAUGUGAAAUAACAUCUUAGAAUCAGGGAGUUUUGUUUUGCUGACUUCUUGAAAUACGAUAAACCUGCUGGCUGAAAUGCAAUACAGAAAUGUAAGAUGAUAAUAAUUAAUGAAUGUGGGAUGUGAAAUUUCACUGAUGAAGCCUCAAUUGG